CCUACGGGGAGCUGCAGUGGGGAAUAUUGGACAAUGGGCGAAAGCCUGAUCCAGCCAUGCCGCGUGUGUGAAGAAGGCCUUCGGGUUGUAAAGCACUUUCAGUGGGGAAGAAAGCCUUUGGGCUAAUACCCUCGAGGAAGGACAUCACCCACAGAAGAAGCACCGGCUAACUCCGUGCCAGCAGCCGCGGUAAUACGGAGGGUGCGAGCGUUAAUCGGAAUUACUGGGCGUAAAGCGCGCGUAGGCGGUCUGAUAAGCCGGUUGUGAAAGCCCCGGGCUCAACCUGGGAACGGCAUCCGGAACUGUCAAGCUAGAGUGCAGGAGAGGAAGGUAGAAUUCCCGGUGUAGCGGUGAAAUGCGUAGAGAUCGGGAGGAAUACCAGUGGCGAAGGCGGCCUUCUGGACUGAAACUGACGCUGAGGUGCGAAAGCGUGGGUAGCAAACAGGAUUAGAUACCCCGGUAGUC
rnacentral:rRNA from 1 species